rnacentral:rRNA from 1 species
UCGGGAAUUUUGGGCAAUGGGGGAAACCCUGACCCAGCAACGCCGCGUGAAGGAUGAAGUAUUUCGGUAUGUAAACUUCGAAAGAAUAGGAAGAAUAAAUGACGGUACUAUUUAUAAGGUCCGGCUAACUACGUGCCAGCAGCCGCGGUAAUACGUAGGGACCAGGCGUUGUUCGGAUUUACUGGGCGUAAAGGGCGCGUAGGCGGCAUGACAAGUCACUUGUGAAAUCUCUGGGCUUAACCCAGAACGGCCAAGUGAUACUGUCGCGCUAGAGUGCAGAAGGGGCAAUCGGAAUUCUUGGUGUAGCGGUGAAAUGCGUAGAUAUCAAGAGGAACACCUGAGGUGAAGACGGGUUGCUGGGCUGACACUGACGCUGAGGCGCGAAAGCCAGGGGAGCAAACGGGAUUAGAUACCCCCGUAGUCCCUGAGCGGGCUGGCAAGGCGCAU